rnacentral:rRNA from 1 species
AGGGCGUGUAGGCGGAGAUGCAAGUUGGGAGUGAAAUCCCGGGGCUCAACCCCGGAACUGCUUUCAAAACUGUAUCCCUUGAGUGUCGGAGAGGCAAGCGGAAUUCCUAGUGUAGCGGUGAAAUGCGUAGAUAUUAGGAGGAACACCAGUGGCGAAGGCGGCUUGCUGGACGAUAACUGACGCUGAGGCGCGAAAGCGUGGGGAGCAAACAGGAUUAGAUACCCUGGUAGUCCACGCUGUAAACGAUGAAUACUAGGUGUGGGAGGACUGACCCCUUCCGUGCCGCAGUUAACACAAUAAGUAUUCCACCUGGGGAGUACGACCGCAAGGUUGAAACUCAAAGGAAUUGACGGGGGCCCGCACAAGCAGUGGAUUAUGUGGUUUAAUUCGACGCAACGCGAAGAACCUUACCAGGAUUUGACAUCCAACUAACGAAGUAGAGAUACAUUAGGUGCCCUUCGGGGAAAGUUGAGACAGGUGGUGCAUGGUUGUCGUCAGCUCGUGUCGUGAGAUGUUGGGUUAAGUCCCGCAACGAGCGCAACCCCUAUUGUUAGUUGCUACGCAAGAGCACUCUAGCGAGACUGCCGUUGACAAAGCGGAGGAAGGCGGGGACGACGUCAAAUCAUCAUGCCCCUUAUGUCCUGGGCUACACACGUAAUACAAUGGUGGUUAACAGAGGGAGGCAAUACUGCGAAGUGGAGCAAAUCCCUAAAAGCCAUCUCAGUUCGGAUUGCAGGCUGCAACUCGCCAGCAUGAAGCUGGAAUUGCU